ACGCACGCUGGCGGCGUGCCUCAUCCCUGCCAGUCGCGCGAGUCUGCCUUGAAGAUCGGAGUGCUUGCACUCUGUGAAACAAGAUACAGGCUAGCGGCGGACGGGUGAGUAACACGUGGGUAACCUGCCCAAGAGAUCGGGAUAACACCUGGAAACAGAUGCUAAUACCGGAUAACAACAGAUGAUGCCUAUCAACUGUUUAAAAGAUGGUUCUGCUAUCACUCUUGGAUGGACCUGCGGUGCAUUAGCUAGUUGGUAGGGUAACGGCCUACCAAGGCGAUGAUGCAUAGCCGAGUUGAGAGACUGAUCGGCCACAUUGGGACUGAGACACGGCCCAAACUCCUACGGGAGGCAGCAGUAGGGAAUCUUCCACAAUGGACGCAAGUCUGAUGGAGCAACGCCGCGUGAGUGAAGAAGGGUUUCGGCUCGUAAAGCUCUGUUGUUGGUGAAGAAGGACAGGGGUAGUAACUGACCUUUGUUUGACGGUAAUCAAUGAGAAAGUCACGGCUAACUACGUG
rnacentral:rRNA from 1 species